rnacentral:rRNA from 1 species
AGACGUAGGGGGCAAGCGUUGUCCGGAAUUAUUGGGCGUAAAGCGCGUGUAGGCGGUUUGUUAAGUCUGAUGUGAAAGCCCCGGGCUCAACCUGGGAAGUGCAUUGGAUACUGGCAGACUUGAAUACGGGAGAGGGCAGUGGAAUUCCUGGUGUAGGAGUGAAAUCCGUAGAUAUCAGGAGGAACACCGGUGGCGAAGGCGGCUGCCUGGACCGAUAUUGACGCUGAGACGCGAAAGCGUGGGUAGC